rnacentral:rRNA from 1 species
UGGUGGAGUGAUUUGUCUGGUUAAUUCCGUUAACGAACGAGACCGCAGCCUGCUAAAUAAUCACAGUAAUGAUUUUUCAUUGCUGAUGGUUUCUUAGAGGGACAUGUAGUAUAAAACUACAGGGAGAUUGCGGCAAUAACA